AAUGCUCGGAUCAAAAGUGAUCGUGAAAUAGAAAAGCUAGCGAAUCGCCGACUUUGUAUAAUGGAAGAGAAAUAAAGAAGAACGGUAAUCCGAACACUAGUUUCUUCUAAUAUUUUCUUUAAGUUUUCUAUGUCAAAAACAUAGCUUAAUAAGAAUAAGGAGUAAAAGAUAUUGAGAAUGAUUUCAUAUGGUUGAAAUCAUGAGAAAAGAAUAAAUAAGAAAUAAGAAAUUUAGUUUAUAAAUUUCUUAAGGAAGUAUAAGAUUCGUAAGGAUUUUGAGCGAUCCGAAUGAAUCCUAUAAAUGAG
rnacentral:lncRNA from 1 species